rnacentral:rRNA from 1 species
GACGAGCGCUGGCGGCGUGCUUAACACAUGCAAGUCGAACGAUGAAGAAAAGACUCGAAGCUUCGGCAGAAAUUCAUUUCGGAUUAGUGGCAGACGGGUGAGUAACGCGUGAGCAACCUACCUCUUACAAAGGGAUAGCCUCGGGAAACCGGGAUUAAUACCAUAUAACAUUGUGACGAAGCAUUUCGAUGCAAUCAAAGCUACGGCGGUAAGAGAUGGGCUCGCGUCCCAUUAACCGGAUGGUGAGGUAACGGCUCACCAUAGUGACGAUGGGUAACCGGCCUGAGAGGGUGAACGGUCACACUGGAACUGAGACACGGUCCAGACUCCUACGGGAGGCAGCAGUGGGGAAUAUUGCACAAUGGAGGGAACGCUGAUGCAGCGACGCCGCGUGAGUGAUGAAGGAAUUCGUUUCGUAAAACUCUGUUCUAUGGGAAGAAAAGGACUGUACCAUAGGAGAAAGCUCCGGCUAAAUACGUG